rnacentral:tRNA from 1 species
GGAGAGAUGGCCGAGUGGCUGAAGGCGCUCCCCUGCUAAGGGAGUAUGGGGCUAUUCCUCAUCGAGGGUUCGAAUCCCUCUCUCUCCGCCA